AUUGAACGCUGGCGGCAUGCCUUACACAUGCAAGUCGAACGGUAACGGGCCUUCGGGUGCCGACGAGUGGCGAACGGGUGAGUAAUGUAUCGGAACGUACCUUUCAGUGGGGGAUAACGUAGCGAAAGUUACGCUAAUACUGCAUAUUCUGUGAGCAGGAAAGCAGGGGAUCGCAAGACCUUGCGCUGAUUGAGCGGCCGAUAUCAGAUUAGCUAGUUGGUGAGGUAAAAGCUCACCAAGGCGACGAUCUGUAGCGGGUCUGAGAGGAUGAUCCGCCACACUGGAACUGAGACACGGUCCAGACUCCUACGGGAGGCAGCAGUGGGGAAUUUUGGACAAUGGGGGCAACCCUGAUCCAGCCAUGCCGCGUGAGUGAAGAAGGCCUUCGGGUUGUAAAGCUCUUUCGGCCGGGAAGAAAUCGUAUCAGCUAAUACCUGGUGCGGAUGACGGUACCGGCAUAAGAAGCACCGGCUAACUACGUGCCAGCAGCCGCCGUAAAAC
rnacentral:rRNA from 1 species